rnacentral:lncRNA from 1 species
CAGCAUGGCUAAGGGCCACCGUGUGGGGUGCUUUGGAGAUGGGGGUGUGUUUAGAUUUUGUCUCUUCCGUGUUAUUCCCAUGGCAGGCUCUGCACCAGUCCCCGGCGCUGCCUGCGGCAUCUGAUUCUGCCGGCGCUGUCCGCUUAGCUUAUGGGUACGCAGAAGAUCUGCAUCAUGGUUCCUGCUGAAGAAGGGAGUAUGUGGCUGUGUGUGUGUGGCUGUGUGUGUGUGUGUGUGCACAGGCAUGCGCACACCUGUGUUUACAUGAACACAUAUGAAUACAGUGUAUGUGUAUACACACAAACAUGUGUGUGCAUGUGAGGU